rnacentral:tRNA from 1 species
GGGGUUGUGGCUCAGCGGUAGAGUGCUCGCCUGGCAUGUGUGAGGCGAUCCUGGGUUCGAUCCUCAGCACCA